rnacentral:rRNA from 1 species
GAUUAACGCUGGCGGCGUGCCUAACACAUGCAAGUCGAACGGGGGUAGCAAUACUCCAGUGGCAGACGGGUGAGUAACACGUGACCAAUCUACCCUAGAGUGGGGGAUAACUAGCCGAAAGGUUAGCUAAUACCGCAUGACACGAAGCGAGGCAUCUCGCAACGUUGAAAGGAGCAAUCCGCUCGAGGACGGGGUCGCGUCCGAUUAGCUAGUUGGUGGGGUAACGGCCUACCAAGGCUCCGAUCGGUAGCUGGUUUGUAGAGAGCGACCAGCCACACUGGGAC